rnacentral:rRNA from 1 species
CCUUUUCCGGGUUGAUCCCCCCCGGAGGCCCAUUGCUAUCGGAGUCCGAUUUAGCCAUGCUAGUCGAGCGAGGUUAGCCCUCGCGGCGAACAGCUCAGUAACACGUGGCCAAGCUACCGUGCAGAGGGGGACAGCGUCGGGAAACUGACGGGAAUCCCCCCAUACCGGUCUCACGCUGGAAUGCCGAGACCGACAAACGCUCGGGCGCUGCAGGAUGCGGCUGCGGCCGAUUAGGUAGUCGGUGGGGUAACGGCCCACCGAGCCGAUAAUUGGUACGGGGUGUGAGAGCACGAGCCCGGAGACGGAAUCUGAGACAAGAUUCCGGGCCCUACGGGGCGCAGCAGGCGCGAAACCUUUACACUGCACGAAGGUGCGAUAAGGGGACUCCGAGUGCGAGGGCAUACAGUCCUCGCUAUUGUGUACCGUAGGGUGGUACACAACCAAGAGCUGGGCAAGACCGGUGCCAGCCGCCGCGGUAAUACCGGCAGCUCGAGUGAUGGCCGAUUUUAUUGGGCCUAAAGCGUCCGUAGCUGGCCCUGCAAGUCCGUCGGGAAAUCCACUCGCCUAACGAGUGGGCGUCCGGCGGAAACUACAGGGCUUGGGACCGGAAGACUUGAGGGGUACGUCUGGGGUAGGAGUGAAAUCCUGUAAUCCUGGACGGACCGCCGAUGGCGAAAGCACCUCAAGACGACGGAUCCGACAGUGAGGGACGAAAGCUAGGGUCUCGAACCGGAUUAGAUACCCGGGUAGUCCUAGCCGUAAACGAUGUUCGCUAGAUGUGGCACAGGCUACGUGCCUGUGCUGUGUCGUAGGGAAGCCGAGAAGCGAACCGCCUGGGAAGUACGUCCGCAAGGAUGAAACUUAAAGGAAUUGGCGGGGGAGCACUACAACCGGAGGAGCCUGCGGUUUAAUUGGAUUCAACGCCGGG